UGGUCAGGGCUAGCAUCCCCGCGCCCCGGCCGAACCGAGACGCCAAGGAUGACCGCGCAACCGAUGGUGGUGUUUUGUAUUCAACGUCUCCUAAUCGCUGGUCGGCAUCGUUUAUGGUUAAGACUACGACGGUAUCUGAUCGUCUUCGAUCCCCUAACUUUCGUUCUUGAUUAAUGAAAACAUCCUUGGCAGAUGCUUUCGCAGAAGUUAAUCUUUCAUAAAUCCAAGAAUUUCACCUCUGACAAUUAAAUAUUAAUGCCCCCAACUAUCCCUAUUAAUCAUUACCCUAGUCCUCGCGCUGCCAAAACCAACUGAAAAUAGGAGGACAGGGUCCUAUUCCAUUAUCCCAUGCUAAUGUAUUCGGUGGCAGAAAAUUGGAUCUGCCUGCUUUGAACACUCUAAUUUUUUCACGGUAAACAUUCUGGGCCA
rnacentral:rRNA from 1 species